UACGGGGGGGGGCAAGCGUUGUUCGGAAUUACUGGGCGUAAAGGGCUCGUAGGCGGCCAACUAAGUCGGAUGUGAAAUCCCCAGGCUUAACCUGGGAACUGCAUCCGAUACUGGAUGGCUUGAAUUCGGGAGAGGGAUGCAGAAUUCCAGGUGUAGCGGUGAAAUGCGUAGAUAUCAGGAGGAACACCGGUGGCGAAGGCGGAUCUCUGGGCCAUUACUGACGCUGAGGAAGCGAAAGCGUGGGGAGCGAACAGG
rnacentral:rRNA from 1 species